CUAGUAACGGCGAGUGAAGCGGCAAGAGCUCAAAUUUGAAAGCUGGCUCCUUCGGGGUCCGCAUUGUAAUUUGCAGAGGAUGCUUCGGGAGCGGUCCCCGUCUAAGUGCCCUGGAACGGGCCGUCAUAGAGGGUGAAAAUCCCGUAUGGGACGGGGUGUCCGCGCCCGUGUGAAGCUCCUUCGACGAGUCGAGUUGUUUGGGAAUGCAGCUCUAAAUGGGUGGUAAAUUUCAUCUAAAGCUAAAUAUUGGCCGGAGACCGAUAGCGCACAAGUAGAGUGAUCGAAAGAUGAAAAGCACUUUGAAAAGAGAGUUAAAAAGCACGUGAAAUUGUUGAAAGGGAAGCGCUUGCGACCAGACUCGCCUACGGGGUUCAGCCGGCAUUCGUGCCGGUGUACUUCCCCGUGGGCGGGCCAGCGUCGGUUUGGGCGGCCGGUCAAAGGCUCCCGGGAUGUAACGCCUCUCGGGGCGUCUUAU
rnacentral:rRNA from 1 species